rnacentral:ncRNA from 1 species
AGCUACACGUCGAGCAAAAGGGCAAACGCUCGCUCGAUCUCGAUUUUCAGUACGAAUACGGACCGCGAAAGCGUGGCCCAUCGAUCCUUUCACUAUGUUUGGAUGUGU